UGCCAAUCUUUUUUUUUUCCCUCCUUUACCUCCCCAAAUCCCCCCAGCACAUAGUUGUAUAUCUUAGUUGCAGGUCCUUCUAGUUGUGGCAUGUGGGAUGCCGCCUCAACAUGGCCUGACGAGCGGUGCCAUGUCGGCGCCCAGGAUCCGAACCAGCGAAACCCUGGGCCGCCGCAGCGGAGCACACGAACUUAACCACUCGGCCACGGGGCCAGCCCCAAAGGGGUCCAGUUUUUAACGUGUUUCACACACAUUCAUAUUUAACACUUGGAACAAUUUUUGAGACUAGUAUGUGUCCCAUUUUACAGCUGAGGAUACUGAGGACCAGAAGGUGACGGCUUGCCCAAGGUCACCCAGCUUGUAAGUGGCAGAAACAGAACUUAAACCCAGAUCUUUGGCCUCUAAGCUAGGAUUUGUGGACCAGAUAAAGCUGCUCCCAAAGGGCAAUCCAUGAAGCCUGGAACAUACUCCUUAUUCAUCCCCAUCAGGGAAGGCAAUGCCAGCACCUUGGUGCCAGCGUCUGAUACAGUCUCCAGGCAUGGAAAGCAACCGGGCCGACGUGUACAGAGACUCUUAAGAGUCUCAUGAAAUCCUAGUGUGCAGAGAAUAUCUCCAAGGCCUUUCUGUGCACAAGAAAGACUGCAGGCUGGCGGUCAGCAGGAGAGCUGUCCCUUAAAAUCCAGGUUUGGCUUCUGUAUAUAUUUAACAGGUAGUCACAUCACUGUGAAGAGCACAGAGCCACGGCAAUCCCCCCACGUAGGACUGGCCUGGCCUGGCAGCCCGCUGGGUCUCGGGCUUGCCAUUUGCUGUGGAACUGGGGACAGCAAUGCCAUCAUUUGUAUGAGAGAGGCCCCCAGCGGACAUUGGUGGUAUUGCUGCCCUUAAGGCCUCUGUGAGCAGCUCCAGAAACGCCCUCCGGCUCCCAGGAGCUCACUUCCUGGGCUGGGAGUGUACAAAGCUGGUGUUGUCUUUGACUAAUUGCCCCCAUACGUGAAGCUAAUGAGUGUUGUCCUCCUCAAAAUCCUCCCUGAGGGAGGUUGCUGUCUGCAUGUGCUAACAAUGCUGCCAUUUCACAGCUUCCCUAGGGCCUGCCUUCACGGCCUUUCCUGGGCUUUUAGAGUCCUAUUUAUGGGCAAAUCUGACCCCUGAGAACAGCUGGCCUUUGUGAAGAUUUGUUUUAGCGUCCUUAGUCCAGCUUUGUUCCAGGACUUGUUUGGUGUGUCCCAGAAUGCUGUUAGUUUUGCUUGUUAUUUUUUGUGGGUUUUUAUUUGACUUGAAUACCACCAUUAUAAAUUAGGAUUCCUAGCAUUUCUGGAAAAGUCAGACAACACUUGUUCUGAGUUCUCACCCAGCAGUCAGUGGCUGAAGCUGAGGAGCUGUGCCCCUCUUUGAGCAGGCAAGGAUUCUCCAGUUUGCCACAGUCCCCACCACUCCCUAUAGUCUCUUAUUGCCUCCCCUGCUGUCAAUUAUAUUACCUUGCUAGCCCCUAUCGAAGCUUUAUCACACAUACAGAAUAAUUGCCAUAAUAAUAGCUGCUGCCACAAGACCAGACAAUAUACCAAGCAUGGUACAUACAUUCUCUCAUUUAACCUAGUGAAAUAGGUAUCAUUAUUCCAACUCACAGAUGCAGAAAUUGGAGUUCACCAUCCUUAAGCAACUUGCCUGUGACCCAACAGCAAGUGUCUGUGCCAUGCAGUUACCAGCUGUGGUCAGGCAGGCAGGCAGACCUGGAUUUAAUUCCACGAGAGAGUGGGAAGUCAGCUUACAGUGACAUGAAAUAUCUCUAUGAGCCACAGGGUUGAACUGAAUUUUAGUUAUGGGCACAUGCAUUUACCUUGUCAGAUAAUGGGCUCCUCCCAUUGGAUUAGGGGGUGUGACUGGCUCAGUAAAGGCCCCAAACGAUCCCCAGGUUUUCCUCUUUUCCCACCCGUAAUGUAUUCAAGAAUGGCUGAUCCCAGUUAUGCAGUAGGCUAAGUAUCUUUGGUGUUAAAGACACUGGAAUAGUACCCUUCUCUUCCUCAGGACUCCUGAUGCCAUGUGCCCAGUGCCCUGAGCUUCCCCAAGGGGCCCAGGGACCCUGCUGUGACAUAGUGUCUAGGCCUCAACUCAGGCAUCACUUCACCUUCCAGAUUUUCCCCUAUGCCCUUGGCUAUCAAAACAUCCUCUGCUAUGUCCCAAGUUUUCAAGCUCUUGCUAAAUGACCGACAACUUACUCUGAUAAAUGAACGGGGAGAGAAGGUGCUAACGGGCUCAUUCAUUCUUCCGACAACUACCUAUCGAGUGUCCAUCUUCUCCUUUUAAAACCAUUCCAGGGCUUCCCACUGCUCUUAGGAGACAAAAUCCUGAGCAAGGCCUAAAAGGCCCUACGUCUUCUGUCCCCUUCAGACACCCCGCCAACACACUCUCCACCCCACAUUUCCAGUGCUCUUCUUCCAGUUCCUCCAACACUCCCCGUCCCCUCCUAGUACUGGUCUUUACACUGGCCCUGUCCUCUGCCUGGAAUCUCUUCCAACCCGUCUUACCCAGUGAUGCCUCCUUGUCCUUCAGAUCUCUGUUCCGUCUGUUCUAGCUUCAUCAGAAACAUUCGCUGGCCUCUCUGACGAGGUCGAAUCGCACCGUUAGACGCAUGCGCACCAGAACCUCUCCAUGGAGACCCCUCACCAGCGGAAUUCUGCGCUUGUCUAUUGAACAGAUCUGUGCCUCACCAGAGAUGAGUUCAAUGACGCCAUCAUGGAGGGGUUUUAUCUGUUUCUAUUAGGCCUAGAUGCCUAAUUCAUAUUUGUUGAAGGAAAGUGGUGGCCAGGGAAGUAGGGAAGGGAAGAAUUUCUAAUACUUUCCUACAGUUGAAAUAGCAAGAACCUAAAUGGCUUGCCCAAGGACAUAGAGUUAGUGACACAGCAGAAAGUUGGACUCAAGUUUCCAAGGGACUGAGCUCGUCACGGUGCACUUCCUUCAACUUGCUGUGACACUUAUUUCACCGUGAUUCCCCGCCAAGGGUGCGGUGUGACAUCAGGCUAACCAUGUUCCUACACUGCUAUGAGCCUGUUUUCCAUCUCUAUAUACGGGACACAGUACUACCUGCCUCCCAGAGAAGAGGGCAGGCAACGCGCUCAGCACCGUGACUGGCACACAGUAAAUGGUCAGCGGACAGCAGUGCGUGCGUGCGUGCACGUGUGAAUGUGUGGCCCUCCUGAGACUUGACUUUUCUGUACUGUGUUUUCUCUCCACAAAUCAACUUGAGAACCACAAGAUAUAUCAUUUCUAUCUUCUCAAGCAUCCUGGUUUCUUAUUCCCCCCUUCCUUUUGAUUUUGGUUCUAAUCUCUUCUUUUAGGUUAGAAUGUUAGAAUGGUUAAAAAUGAACCAUUUUUUUCAAAGCCUUGGCAGCUUUCAUUUCCUCAGUUCAUUUCAAAUGAUUUAUGAUACAACACAUCAACAUUUAUAACAUCUUUCAGUCUUAUCCAAUGGGACAGGGGAUGGAAAAUGAUAGACUAGCCGCAAAAAUUAAUUGAAGCAAUGAUUUUUUUUUAAAAAAAGAAGGAAAAUUUGCAAAGAAUGCAAAUAGGCGAUUCACAGAGAGCAAGUCUAGAUGAUCAAAAAACAUAGGAAAUGAUUUCAGACUCUAG
ensembl:lncRNA